AUGUGGGAUGUGGGCGUCCGAGAGCAACUUAGCUACUGCACCAAAACCCCAGUUCAGAGAGCUCCUACAAACCUGCUACCAACGACAGCUUUCCUGGGACGGAACGCACGUGUCGCACCACCUACGGGGAACAACAGUCCUGUGUGUCCUCCCAGGGACAGGCAGCCCUCACUGCCGUCACCCUCCUCCCGGGGACAGGCGGCCCUCACCUCACCCUCCUCCCGGGCACAGGCGGCCCUGACUGCUGUCACCCUCCUCCCGGGGAUGGGCAGCCCUCACCUCACCCUCCUCCCGGGACAGGCAACCCUCACCACCCUCACCCUCCUCCCAGGGACGGGCGACCCUCACCUCACCCUCCUCCCGGGGACAGGCAGCCCUCACCACCCUCACCCUCCUCCCGGGGACGGGCGACCCUCACCACCCUCACCCUCCUCCCGGGGACGGGCGACCCUCACCACCCUCACCCUCCUCCCGGGGACGGGCGACCCUCACCACCCUCACCCUCCUCCCAGGUAUGGGCAACCCUCACCUCACCCUCACCCUCCUCCCGGGUACAGGCGGCCCUCACUGCCGUCACCCUCCUCCCGGGGACAGGCAGCCCUCACCUCACCCUCCUCCCGGGGACGGGCGGCCCUCACUGCCGUCACCCUCCUCCCGGGGACAGGCGACCCUCACCUCACCCUCACCCUCCUCCUGGGGACAGGCGACCCUCACCUCACCCUCCUCCCGGGGACGGGCGACCCUCACCUCACCCCCCUCCAGGGACGGGCGACCCUCACCCCCAUCACCCUCCUCCCGGGGACAGGCCACCCUCACCCCCAUCACCCUCCUCCCGGGGACAGGCGACCCUCACCUCACCCUCACCCUCCUCCUGGGGACAGGCGACCCUCACCUCACCCUCCUCCCGGGGACGGGCGACCCUCACCUCACCCCCCUCCGGGGACGGGCGACCCUCACCCCCAUCACCCUCCUCCCGGGGACAGGCCACCCUCACCCCCAUCACCCUCCUCCCGGGGACAGGCAACCCUCGCCUCCCUCACCCUUAGAGCACUGCCAUGA
rnacentral:lncRNA from 1 species